rnacentral:rRNA from 1 species
UGCUUAACAGCUAGCCUAAAUUACAAACUACAACAAAUAAACCUCAAUAACCCCUAACACACUAACUAAAAUCAACAAAUCAUUUUACCUCCCAAGUAU